rnacentral:rRNA from 1 species
UGGGGAAUUUUGGACAAUGGGGGAAACCCUGAUUCAGCCAUCCCGCGUGUGCGAUGAAGGCCUUCGGGUUGUAAAGCACUUUUGGCAGGAAAGAAACGUCAUGGGUUAAUACCCCGUGAAACUGACGGUACCUGCAGAAUAAGCACCGGCUAACUACGUGCCAGCAGCCGCGGCAAUACGUAGGGUGCAAGCGUUAAUCGGAAUUACUGGGCGUAAAGCGUGCGCAGGCGGUUCGGAAAGAAAGAUGUGAAAUCCAAGAGCUCAACUUUGGAACUGCAUUUUUAACUACCGGGCUAGAGUGUGUGAGAGGGAGAAGGAAUUCCGCGUGUGGCAGUGAAGUGCGUAGAUAUGCGGAGGAACACCGAUGGCGAAGGCAGCCUCCUGGGAUAACACUGACACUCAUGCACGAAAGCGUGGGGAGCAAACAGG